ACGCUCGACACCUACGGGAUGCAGCAGUGGGGAAUAUUGCACAAUGGGGGAAACCCUGAUGCAGCGACGCCGCGUGAGCGAAGAAGUAUUUCGGUAUGUAAAGCUCUAUCAGCAGGGAAGAAACUGACGGUACCUGACUAAGAAGCACCGGNUAAAUACGUGCCAGCAGCCGCGGUAAUCNGAGCGGGCUGGCAAGGC
rnacentral:rRNA from 1 species